rnacentral:rRNA from 1 species
AGUCAAGUAAUUAAGUGCAUGUGGUGGAUGCCUUGGCAGUCAGAGGCGAUGAAAGACGUAAUAGCCUGCGAUAAGCUUCGGGGAGGCGGCAAAUAUCCUAUGAUCCGGAGAUUUCUGAAUGGGGAAACCCACCUGUUAUAAGACAGGUAUCGUAUGAUGAAUACAUAGUCAUACGAGGCGAACGAGGGGAAGUGAAACAUCUCAGUACCCUUAGGAAAAGAAAUCAAUUGAGAUUCCCUCAGUAGCGGCGAGCGAACGGGGAUCAGCCCAUUAAGUUAUGUGUGUUUUAGUGGAAUGCUCUGGGAAGUGCAACCAUAGUGGGUGAUAGUCCUGUACACGAAAGGGCACACAUAAUGAUGACGAGUAGGGCGAGGCACGUGAAACCUUGUCUGAAUAUGGGGGGACCAUCCUCCAAGGCUAAAUACUCCUGACUGACCGAUAGUGAACCAGUACCGUGAGGGAAAGGCGAAAAGAACCCCUGUGAGGGGAGUGAAAUAGAUCCUGAAACCGCAUGCAUACAAGCAGUGGGAGCCACUUCGUGUGGUGACUGCGUACCUUUUGUAUAAUGGGUCAGCGACUUAUAUUCAGUGGCGAGGUUAACCGAAUAGGGGAGCCGUAGAGAAAUCGAGUCUUAAUAGGGCGUCUAGUCGCUGGGUAUAGACCCGAAACCGGGUGAUCUAUCCAUGAGCAGGUUGAAGGUUGGGUAACACUAACUGGAGGACCGAACCCACCGUCGUUGAAAAGCCGGGGGAUGACUUGUGGAUAGGGGUGAAAGGCUAAUCAAACUCGGUGAUAGCUGGUUCUCCCCGAAAGCUAUUUAGGUAGCGCCUCGGACGAAUACCAUUGGGGGUAGAGCACUGUUUCGGCUAGGGGGUCAUCCCGACUUACCAAACCGAUGCAAACUCCGAAUACCAAUGAGUACUAUCCGGGAGACAGACUGCGGGUGCUAACGUCCGUAGUCAAGAGGAAAACAAUCCAGACCGCCAGCUAAGGCCCCAAAAUCAUAGUUAAGUGGGAAACGAUGUGGGAAGGCAUAGACAGCUAGGAGGUUGGCUUAGAAGCAGCCACCCUUUAAAGAAAGCGUAAUAGCUCACUAGUCGAGUCGGCCUGCGCGGAAGAUGUAACGGGGCUAAAACUAUGUGCCGAAGCUGCGGAUGUAUACAUNNNNNNNNNNNNNNNNNNNNNNNNNNNNNNNNNNNNNNNNNNNNNNNNNNNNNNNNNNNNNNNNNNNNNNNNNNNNNNNNNNNNNNNNNNNNNNNUACAUUGUAUACGUGGUAGGGGAGCGUUCUGUAAGCCGAUGAAGGUGGAUUGAGAAGUCUGCUGGAGGUAUCAGAAGUGCGAAUGCUGACGUGAGUAACGACAAAACGGGUGAAAAACCCGUUCGCUGAAAGACCAAGGGUUCCAGUCCAACGUUAAUCGGGGCUGGGUGAGUCGACCCCUAAGGCGAGGCCGAAAGGCGUAGUCGAUGGGAAAUUGGUUAAUAUUCCAAUACUUCUGUGUAAUGCGAUGAGAGGACGGAGAAGGUUAAGUCAGCCUGGCGUUGGUUGUCCAGGUGAAAGACAGUAGGCAUGCAUCUUAGGCAAAUCCGGGGUGCUCUAUGCUGAGAGUCGAUAGCAAGCUAGUUUACUAGCGAAGUGGCUGAUACCCUGCUUCCAGGAAAAGUCUCUAAGCUUCAGUUACACAGGAAUCGUACCCGAAACCGACACAGGUGGUCAGGUCGAGUAGACCAAAGCGCUUGAGAGAACUCUGCUGAAGGAACUAGGCAAAAUGGUACCGUAACUUCGGGAGAAGGUACGCUGCUGACGGUGAUUCCCCUUGCGGGAUGAGCGGUUGGCAGCCUCAGAAACCAGGCCGCUGCAACUGUUUAUUAAAAACAUAGCACUCUGCAAACACGAAAGUGGACGUAUAGGGUGUGAUGCCUGCCCGGUGCUGGAAGGUUAAUUGAUGGGGUUAGCGUAAGCGAAGCUCUUGAUCGAAGCCCCAGUAAACGGCGGCCGUAACUAUAACGGUCCUAAGGUAGCGAAAUUCCUUGUCGGGUAAGUUCCGACCUGCACGAAUGGCAUAAUGAUGGCGGCGCUGUCUCCAGCAGAGGCUCAGUGAAAUCGAAUUCGCCGUGAAGAUGCGGUGUACCCGCGGCUAGACGGAAAGACCCCGUGAACCUUUACUGCAGCUUGACAUUGAACUUUGAUCUUACUUGUGUAGGAUAGGUGGGAGGCUUUGAAGUAGUGACGCCAGUUACUAUGGAGCCAUCCUUGAAAUACCACCCUGGUAAUAUUGAGGUUCUAACUCCGUCCCGUUAUCCGGGACGAGGACCAUGUCUGGUGGGUAGUUUGACUGGGGCGGUCUCCUCCUAAAGAGUAACGGAGGAGUACGAAGGUGCGCUCAGCGUGGUCGGAAAUCACGCGUAGAGUAUAAAGGCAAAAGCGCGCUUAACUGCGAGACCAACAAGUCGAGCAGGUACGAAAGUAGGUCUUAGUGAUCCGGUGGUUCUGUAUGGAAGGGCCAUCGCUCAACGGAUAAAAGGUACUCUGGGGAUAACAGGCUGAUACCGCCCAAGAGUUCAUAUCGACGGCGGUGUUUGGCACCUCGAUGUCGGCUCAUCUCAUCCUGGGGCUGAAGCAGGUCCCAAGGGUAUGGCUGUUCGCCAUUUAAAGAGGUACGCGAGCUGGGUUUAGAACGUCGUGAGACAGUUCGGUCCCUAUCUACCGUGGGCGCUGGAAAUUUGAGAGGAUCUGCUCCUAGUACGAGAGGACCAGAGUGGACGAACCUCUGGUGUACCGGUUGUGACGCCAGUCGCAUCGCCGGGUAGCUAUGUUCGGAAGGGAUAACCGCUGAAAGCAUCUAAGCGGGAAGCCUACCUCAAGAUUAGAUUUCCCUAGGAAUUUAUUUCCUCUAAAGAUCCGUUCGAGACUAGGACGUUGAUAGGUUGGAUGUGGAAGCAUAGUGAUAUGUGUAGCUGACCAAUACUAAUUGAUCGUGAGGCUUGACUAU